CCUACGGGAGGCAGCAGUAGGGAAUCUUCCACAAUGGGCGAAAGCCUGAUGGAGCAACGCCGCGUGGGUGAAGAAGGUCUUCGGAUCGUAAAACCCUGUUGUUAGAGAAGAAAGUGCGUGAGAGUAACUGUUCACGUUUCGACGGUAUCUAACCAGAAAGCCACGGCUAACUACGUGCCAGCAGCCGCGGUAAUACGUAGGUGGCAAGCGUUAUCCGGAUUUAUUGGGCGUAAAGGGAACGCAGGCGGUCUUUUAAGGCUGAUGGGAAAGCCUUCGGCUUAACCGGAGUAGUGCAUUGGAAACUGGGAGACUUGAGUGCAGAAGAGGAGAGUAGAACUCCAUGUGUAGCGGUGAAAUGCGUAGAUAUAUGGAAGAACACCAGUGGCGAAAGCGGCUCUCUGGUCUGUAACUGACGCUGAGGUUCGAAAGCGUGGGUAGCAAACAGGAUUAGAUACCCGAGUAGUC
rnacentral:rRNA from 1 species